rnacentral:rRNA from 1 species
ACGAACGCUGGCGGCGCGCCUAACACAUGCAAGUCGAACGGAGCUUAGAGAGCUUGCUUUUUAAGCUUAGUGGCGAACGGGUGAGUAACGCGUGAGUAACCUGCCCUAGAGUGGGGGACAACAGUUGGAAACGACUGCUAAUACCGCAUAAGCCCACGGUACCGCAUGGUACUGAGGGAAAAAGGAUUUAUUCGCUUUAGGAUGGACUCGCGUCCAAUUAGCUAGUUGGUGAGGUAACGGCCCACCAAGGCGACGAUUGGUAGCCGGACUGAGAGGUUGAACGGCCACAUUGGGACUGAGACACGGCCCAGACUCCUACGGGAGGCAGCAGUGGGGGAUAUUGCACAAUGGGGGAAACCCUGAUGCAGCGACGCCGCGUGGAGGAAGAAGGUUUUCGGAUUGUAAACUCCUGUCGUUAGGGACGAUAAUGACGGUACCUAACAAGAAAGCACCGGCUAACUACGUGCCAGCAGCCGCGGUAAAACGUAGGGUGCAAGCGUUGUCCGGAAUUACUGGGUGUAAAGGGAGCGCAGGCGGGAAGACAAGUUGGAAGUGAAAACCAUGGGCUCAACCCAUGAAUUGCUUUCAAAACUGUUUUUCUUGAGUAGUGCAGAGGUAGAUGGAAUUCCCGGUGUAGCGGUGGAAUGCGUAGAUAUCGGGAGGAACACCAGUGGCGAAGGCGGUCUACUGGGCACCAACUGACGCUGAGGCUCGAAAGCAUGGGUAGCAAACAGGAUUAGAUACCCUGGUAGUCCAUGCCGUAAACGAUGAUUACUAGGUGUUGGGGGAUUGACCCCCUCAGUGCCGCAGUUAACACAAUAAGUAAUCCACCUGGGGAGUACGACCGCAAGGUUGAAACUCAAAGGAAUUGACGGGGGCCCGCACAAGCAGUGGAGUAUGUGGUUUAAUUCGAAGCAACGCGAAGAACCUUACCAGGUCUCGACAUCCGAUGCAUAGCACAGAGAUGUGUGAAAUCCUUCGGGACAUCGAGACAGGUGGUGCAUGGUUGUCGUCAGCUCGUGUCGUGAGAUGUUGGGUUAAGUCCCGCAACGAGCGCAACCCUUAUUGCCAGUUACUACGUUAAGAGGACUCUGGCGAGACUGCCGUUGACAAAACGGAGGAAGGUGGGGAUGACGUCAAAUCAUCAUGCCCUUUAUGACCUGGGCUACACACGUACUACAAUGGCGUUAAACAAAGAGAAGCAAGACCGCGAGGUGGAGCAAAACUCAAAAACAACGUCUCAGUUCAGAUUGCAGGCUGCAACUCGCCUGCAUGAAGUCGGAAUUGCUAGUAAUCGCGGAUCAGAAUGCUGCGGUGAAUACGUUCCCGGGUCUUGUACACACCGCCCGUCACACCAUGGGAGUUGGAAAUGCCCGAAGUCAGUGACCCAACCGCAAGGAGGGAGCUGCCGAAGGCAGGUUCGAUAACUGGGGUG